AGAGGUGAAAUUCUUGGACCGUCGCAAGACGAACUACUGCGAAAGCAUUUGCCAAGAAUGUUUUCAUUAAUCAAGAACGAAAGUUAGAGGUUCGAAGGCGAUCAGAUACCGCCCUAGUUCUAACCAUAAACGAUGCUGACUAGCGAUCCGCCGGCGUUAAUCCCAUGACUCGGCGGGCAGCUUCCCGGGAAACCAAAGUCUCUGAGUUCCGGGGGAAGUAUGGUUGCAAAGCUGCAAACUUAAAGA
rnacentral:rRNA from 1 species